GACGAACGCUGGCGGCGCGCUUAACACAUGCAAGUCGAACGGAAAGGCCUGCUUUCCCUUGUGGAUUGCGGGUACUCGAGUGGCGAACGGGUGAGUAACACGUGAGUGAUCUGCCCCCAACUUGGGUAUAAGCCUGGGAAACUGGGUCUAAUUCCCGAUAGGACUGUAGGGUGGUGCCUGUGGUGGAAAACGAUUUUCUAGUGGUUGGGGAUGAGCUCGCGGCCUAUCAGCUUGUUGGUGGGGUAAUGGCCUACCAAGGCGGCGACGGGUAGCCGGCCUGAGAGGGUGGACGGCCACAUUGGGACUGAGAUACGGCCCAGACUCCUACGGGAGGCAGCAGUGGGGAAUAGUGCACAAUGGGCGGAAGCCUGAUGCAGCGACGCCGCGUGGGGGAUGACGGCCUUCGGGUUGUAAACUCCUUUCGACCGCGAGGAAGCCACCUGGUUGGAAGGGUGGUGACGGUAGUGGUAGAAGAAGCACCGGCUAACUACGUG
rnacentral:rRNA from 1 species